rnacentral:lncRNA from 1 species
CAUUUCUUUCUUAUUUUCCCUGCGUCUUAAUUAUCACCAGUGGGAUGGACAGGAAGAAAAGUCUGCAAGACACAUUUAGGAACUUUGUCAUCGAUGCAGUUGUUUCCUGACAACGGAUGGAGUGCCUGCUGUAUUGAGAUUAUGGGUGUGGGCCACAGUGCCCAGCCAGAUGUAUCUUUCAAUCCACCAAGGGAAUCUGAACUGUUAAUUAAUUGUUAAUUGUUAAAACAUUGCUGGGCAAAAUAGCCCUGACGUGCUGCUUGAAGCACCUGGGCAGCUCAGACAUGAACUUCCUAAACCAUGAAAAACAAGACAACAAAGAGGAUGGAAAAGAGGGAGGAAAAAGUCAUCAAAGGAAAGCAGGGAGAAACCGAGAAACUGGUGUGGACAAGAUCAGAGUGAAUAAGCAGAUGUGGUUGGAAGCACACUAUUGAUUAAAAUCACCUCAGCUAAUAGACGUAGCUCAACCAAAACAUUGGCUUACACAAUUUGCUGGAAUUCUCUGUCUUCCACUAGCAGGCUUCAGAAGAAGAUCUGAACUCUCAGCUCUGCCUGCACCAUGCCUGUCUGGAUGCUGCCAUGUUGCCACCUUGACGAUAAUGGACUGAACCUCUGAAUCUGUAAGCCAGCCCCAGUUAAAUGUUGUCCUUAUAAGAGUUGCCUUGGUCAUGGUGUCUGUUCACAGCAGUAAAACCCUAGCUAAGAGAGUGAAUUCGGAUGUAGAAAUCUCCUUCGCCAGUACCAUGUCUGCCUGCAUGCUGCCAUGCUUUCCUCCGUGAUGACAUGGAUUGAUCCUCUGAAACUGUAAACUAGCUUCAAUCAAAUACCUACUUAUAUAAGAGUUACCAUCGUAAUGUGUUUCUUCACAGCGAUAGGUCGCUGACUAAGACCAGUGGUCUCUUGUUUUCCUGGUUAUUCAUGUUUCUUAGAGUCUUUUGUAGUUAUCUGUACAUUUGCACAAGAGGUCGUUUCCUCCAGGGUUUAUCAGCUAUCUCUGACACAGAGAUUAACUUUACCUCUGAGCUGGGGUGCAUUAAAGCACACUUUGACUCUAAACCUAGUGAGCCAGGGCCCGUGUGGAGGCUUUCAGUUCAGAGGGUAAUGUGUCUAUCAGCUCACGCAGCUGGCAUCCAAAGUGUUGACAACUUGGCAGACCUAUGCUGCGAGGACUGUUAGGGAUCCAGUGGCAAGGGCAGCAGUGGAGACAUGGGACACUCAGAUGCAUACACUUGGCCUCGAAGGCCAGCUGCAGGUAUCUGCUGGGUGACAAGUUUGGUGGUAGGCAAGUGCACAGCGGGGAAUAUUAGAGCACGAGAGGCUCAGAAGCCAUAGCUUGUAAAGGCAAAUAAAGACUCUUGGCUACAGAUCAAUGGAGUCCUCUUUGGAGCAAUGCUUUAAUUCUGUCACAGUAAAUAUUGUGAGUCCUCAGUGGUGAAAGUAUGAGGAGUUUGCAGCAGCUCCUGGGUCUGUUAAGGUUCCAGCAAAGAUGGCUCCAGGGUCCUUUUCUGAGGAGACUCUAAGGACAGCCAAGUCACCUACUCUAUUGCUGUCUCUUUUGCUCCGAGCUAUUUCCAGAUGCAUACUAUGCCAUUCUUCCUUAGUGAUCUGAGGAGAUCACCAGGUGAGUCUUUCAAAAGGUGUCCUGAAAGUUUGUGGAAUAUGGCUGUUCACCCAGCCUUUCUUUUUCUUAAGAGGGCAGUUCAUGGGCUGGUUAGUUUCUUCUCAGCCAGGGUAGUGAUGGGUUCGGGAGAGGUGUGUGAGUCAGGCAAAAUGAACCAUUUGCCUAUUGUUUUGAGGCAUUUUACUUGGGCGUUCUUCCUCCACCAUAUGUCUAUAUCUUUUACAAUGACCACCACCACCCACCCCAAGUACUUCCAGAGAUAUUUACCUUCCUGGAUAGUUCAUUUGGUGGGGAGGGAGAAUGUUGUAAAAUCUGAUAUCUUACUCCAAUGUAUUGCUGUCAUCGAUUGCUACUGCCUGAUGGGAAAGCAUGACUAUAAAUCCCAGGCCUGCCUAUAACUCCAGUUUCAGUGAGUUUGGCACCCUCUCUUGGUCUUUAAAGCUCUUGCACAUACUCUCUUGUACACGUGCUCAUAAACUCAUGCAGGCUCCCACAGGGUCACAUAACUG